rnacentral:rRNA from 1 species
GACGAACGCUGGCGGCGUGCCUAAUACAUGCAAGUCGAGCGCAGGAAACUGACGGAACUCUUCGGAGGGAAGGCAGUGGAAUGAGCGGCGGACGGGUGAGUAACACGUAAGGAACCUGCCUCAAGGAUUGGGAUAACUCCGAGAAAUCGGAGCUAAUACCGGAUAGUUCAUCGGACCGCAUGGUCCGUUGAUGAAAGGCGCUCCGGCGUCACCUUGAGAUGGCCUUGCGGUGCAUUAGCUAGUUGGUGGGGUAACGGCCCACCAAGGCGACGAUGCAUAGCCGACCUGAGAGGGUGAUCGGCCACACUGGGACUGAGACACGGCCCAGACUCCUACGGGAGGCAGCAGUAGGGAAUCUUCCACAAUGGACGAAAGUCUGAUGGAGCAACGCCGCGUGAGUGAUGAAGGUUUUCGGAUCGUAAAACUCUGUUGUAAGGGAAGAACACGUACGAGAGGGAAUGCUCGUACCUUGACGGUACCUGAAGAAUAAGCACCGGCUAACUACGUGCCAGCCGCCGCCGUAA